AACGAACGCUGGCGGCAUGCCUAACACAUGCAAGUCGAACGAGACCUUCGGGUCUAGUGGCGCACGGGUGCGUAACGCGUGGGAAUCUGCCCCUUGGUUCGGAAUAACUUCGGGAAACUGAAGCUAAUACCGGAUAAUGACGUAAGUCCAAAGAUUUAUCGCCAAGGGAUGAGCCCGCGUAGGAUUAGCUAGUUGGUGGGGUAAAGGCUCACCAAGGCGACGAUCCUUAGCUGGUCUGAGAGGAUGAUCAGCCACACUGGGACUGAGACACGGCCCAGACUCCUACGGGAGGCAGCAGUGGGGGAAUAUUGGACAAUGGGCGAAAGCCUGAUCCAGCAAUGCCGCGUGAGUGAUGAAGGCCUUAGGGUUGUAAAGCUCUUUUUACCCCGGGGAAGGAUAAUGACUGUACCGGGAGAAUAAGCCCCGGCUAACUCCGUGCCAGCAGCCGCGGU
rnacentral:rRNA from 1 species